UCUGUUUUGCCAUGUGUCCAAUUUUCCUUAAUCCAUGUUAAUUCAAUCCCACGUCACCACGCCACUUCAGAUCCCAUUCAUUCCUUCGCCCCGCCUCUUCGAUCGCUUCCUGAUUCCCACAGCUUCGAUCCCUGCCCCGCCUCUUCGAACCCUCCCCCACAACCGCCUCUUCGAUCCCUCCUCCGCCUCUUCGAUCCUUCCUCCGCCUCUUCGAUCUCUCUCUACGCUUCAUCAUACCUUUUCUCGCGCGCCCCUCUCCCCGCCUUCUUCCCCUGUCGCCCCGCAGGGCGCGGAGGUCCUGCAGAUCCACGCCGAACUCUCUCAGCUCUCUUUCCGAUCUGCAAGGGUCUUCUUCUCCUCCUCCCCCUCGCCAUCACGCGAGGAUCUAGAAACACCAAUGAAGCCACAUACCUCUCAUACACCGAGGAGCUCGCAGGCCCCCGCGCCCUCUCCCGAGCGCUCGCGCCCUGUUCGAUGAAAUGCCGAGGCGAUUGCAGGGCGCUUCGCGGGCAUCGGAGAGGUGGGGUGCGGCGCUGGGGAUAGUGCAUGGUUAAAAAAAAAAAAGAGAAAAAAAAGUGCCCUGGAAUCCGCAGGCUCCUCCUUUCUCCUUUCCUUCAGCAUGGUUUAUAAAAAAAUAGAUAUAUAUUAGAUGUGCUGGUUAAGUGCAACGGUUUGAGGAGGGGCCUUUUCCAAUUUCAGAUUUGGGGUCCCAAAGAAGUCCAGACAAAAGUAAACAGGGGGGGAAGAACUGUAGUUCGGUCCUGUGCAGUUUAUAGCAAUGUUUUGUCUGUUGUGGGUUACUUUGCUUUCACUUGAAUGUGAUAAGAAUUUGACCCUUCUAUUCCCCGAGACUUUGUCUUCCCCGUUUUCCUCCCGUGCGAUGAUGACCUUCCCAAUAUCAGAUAGUCGCGAUAAUUGAGAAAGGCCUGCGCUUUCUUGAUUGGUAAUGAGAGCACUUUGGAUGGCUUACUUCUUAAGCAACCAGUUGUUCUCAUUUGUGCUAAGAAUGGUUUCGGCGUGCGCAUGGUUUCUAGCUCGGUCGGCACUAUUAAUCGGGAAGGCUUCGCUGCCAAUCUGAUAAUGCUUGAUAACUAGGGGUGUCUGAGCAAAAAUUAUUUAUUUAUUUCCAUACCUACCCAUGUUUGCUACUCCUCUUUACUCUUAUCUUCUUUGUAAAUAUUGGUUUCAUGUUUUUUUAAACUAUUGGGAUUUCCCCAAACUGCAUCUUUGGCUUUGAUUUGUCAAAUCUCUUUAUUUUCGACUUGCUUUUACCUGCAUUCGAUUUCUUUUUCCCUUUUUGUUUUAGCAACCUUUCAAGACUUGGUUAUUUUACAUCAUUGUUUUGAGCUGUUCCAUAGAAAAAACUCUAUUCUUUUGCUUUUCCUUCGCCCUGAUUUUCGCAGCAAAAAAAAUUAUAUGCCGUGGAAUCCGCAAGUCCCUGUUUUCGAUUUCUGCAGGUUCCCUAUGCCUUCCUGCUGGCUGUCGGCUCUUUGUUUUUCUUCAUAGUCCUUACCUUGAAUGUUACAUGAUUGCAACAAUUGAGCUUCCACCUAUUUUUAUCCCAAACAACAAUGCACCUUUCCUUGAAUGUGAAAUGAUUACGAUAAUUGAGAGGGGCCCGACCUUCUUGGCGACUAUGAAGUCAUCACUUGCACCCAUAAUGAAAAGAACUACAGAGCUCCUUGGUAUCAAAGGUACAGGUAAUGAUGCAUUAAGUUUGUUCAGUUUGAACAAUGGAAGCUUUGAACUUUCUUCCAUUAGCUCUUGGUACCUAUAAUAACAUAGAAGCAAAACCGAGCAUAAACUAUAUAUCAAGUUGCUUUUGUACUUCAAAAUAUAUGGCUCAAACUAUUAGAACUAUCAAGGUGCAGGGGAAGGAAAGUCUUUCAAUUUAUGAGCAGCUCAAGUAGUACCACUAUCAACACAGCAUCGAUAAUAAAAUAGGUAAGAAAAAGUAUGUUUAAAAUAAUUAGGACGGGGGCGCCGUGUUCAAGGAGGAGUGGCGGCAGCGGCGGCGGCAUCAGCAGGACGGCGCCAUGUGGGAGAAGGCCGGGGUCAACGUCUCAGUCGUGUACGGCGUGAUGCCCCCCGAGGCCUACCGCGCUGCCAAGGGCGAGCCCAGCGCCGCCAACCCCUCCGCGAAGGCCGGGCCCGUCCUGUUCUUCGCUGCGGUGAUCAGCUCAGUAAGUAACGCUCAUCAACAAUGGAUUCUUUAAAGAUCUUUACAUAUUAUGCAUGGACUCUGAGCUUCUAGGGACACCAUUAUUAAGCAUUAAAUUUACUGAGUGAUGUCAGGUUGAUUAAUCACUAAAUUGUUGCAUGAUUGCAUGAAAUAGGGUGCGUCGUAGAAGCAGAAUGAGUGGAGUUAAUAUGAUUUAUCUGCUUUUGAGAUGGUUUUUUAUUUUUUAAUUUAUAAAUUAGGGUUAAAAUCGUAUAAAAUUGAGGAUAAAAAAAUAAAGAGAAAUGGGUUUAGAGGGUUUUAGAGGAGAUUUUGAUGUAAAUUAGCUAAUAAAAAUGAUAGCUCUUCUUCUGUUUUGUUGUUAGUGUCAGAUGGGAUCUGAGUCAGGAGGUAAUGUGGCAGUUUCAUCUGCUGAUGGGACCACCAGAAAACCCUAAUUCUAAAUUCUUUCUUGGGCAAGUUGUUAUAAUUUCUUAUUAACAUCCGUGACAACUAGGGAUUCAAGAGAAAAUUUUUGCUUCUACUUUGUUUGUGAUCUUUAUUCUUUUUUAGCUUGUGGUAUUAGAUAUAACUUAUACUUAAUUAUCUUUGUUUCACAAUACUGUUUUGGCUUAAGGAUGACCUUUAUGAAUUUCUAAAUGGAUAAUCUAGGUUUCUAUGAGUUAUUUUCACGCCAUAUUAAUAGCAAACUGAAUGGGGUAUUGCAACAAAAAAAAAACCUUUCAUACCUGAAAAUUCGGGGAGCAACAGUACACAUCAUAUUUCUGAUCCUUAAAGAGUCUGCUCAAUAACUCUUCAGAUUCAUCUCAUUCCAAAAUGUAGAAUUAACCGCCUAUCAACCAUCAAGUCAUUCGCUCUGGCAUGAACUUCAUUACUCCAGCUCUGGAUGUCAUUGUCUUUAUUCUCUGUAUAGCAUCUUAGAUUCUCUACUUAGUCAAUGUACAAGCCAUUGACAACAAUGAAUUAUAUAUAAAAACAUAAUUUUGCUUUGACAAUUACCUGUAGGAUAACGUUUCAGCAUGGAUCUUUAUAGUUCCUUCUUUGGGUAUUUUAAUUCACCUUACCUGAACAAGGAGGAAAUAAAGAAUGCCGGUAACAUUAUCAAACAAGAGAGUACAAAUGGUCACAAGCAGUGUCGAAUCAAAAUUGAGAGUAAAACUUCAGUGUCGGUUUUCAUCUCGCCAACAGCUUCAAUUACUUUCUUAGUACCAUCUGCAUUCUUUUCUGCUUAUACAGAGGGAGAUAGUUAGCUUGCAUUCUUUUCUGCUUAUACAGAGGGAGAUAGUUAGCCUGCAUUCUUUUCUGCUUAUACAGAGGGAGAUAGUUAGCCUUCCUUGAGUCAUCCUGAGUGUCCUACUCAAAGCCAAUUCUCCAAGGGUUGGUUUUGCAAUUCUUCUUACCCUUCCAUUGAGAUUUCUGAAGUUGUAUCAACUUUCUCUCCAAAGAAGAGCAAUAUUGGACUUUCAAUAGCUUCACAGCAUCACAAGGACCUAUGCAGACACUAGAGCAAACCGGAGGUGAAAGGAAAUAAAGGAAGGAACAAAAAGAACAAGACAUGCUAGGUGACAACUACAAAAUCCCAAAAUUCUGAGUAGCCAAAGAAUUUGUACAAAAUCCCAAAAUUCCGGCAAAUUGAAUUAAGAAAUUGUUUGUUAUCUAUCUACCAAUAAUAAUUGUUGACAAAAUCUGAAGUUACUAUCAUCAUUUGAAUAAGUACUCAAAACUGAACAAAAUCUCUAAUUGGGAUGAUAGAUCACAAGUUUUGAAAGUCGCCGAUCAAAAUAAUAAUACUUACUUAAGGGGUCUAUUUCAAAAAAUGUAUAAUCGAGGGGUACUCAAAGAAAAAAAAAUAAAAACUGCAUCUGGUUUCAGUUAGUUUAUUUUUAAUUAACUUUACCUGCCCAUAGUCAAGUGUAUUCAUAUGGACUAAAGCACUGUAGGGUCAUGGACUAUAAUCUACACAAAUUAAUUCCAGUGCCAUAAUAAUAAUGGAUGCAAGGAUUGGAGGAUUAGUUGACACCAUGUGCCAUAGGGGAUUAAUUAAAUGGUAAUGUGUUCCACCUAGCAAGGAUUAAAUGAAAAUGCGCUGUAACGCGUGUCUCGCAGCAUGUGGAGGCCGGCUUCUGUUUCUGUAGUUUCUACUGUUGUUUAUUCUUCUUUUUUCUCAGCCUCUUUAUUCUUCUUCUAUUUUUACUAUUGCUGGUUUUCCGUCCUGUUCAAAGUGUUGAUUAUUAAUGAGCGAUGAUGACAAACAAAAGUGAAGGAACCCAAAUGGUUCUCCAAUUUUGAUGGCCAAAUGGCGACUCUUACUGCAGUCUAAGAAGUAUUUUCCUGUGCCCCCAUUGAGAGCAAUAUGAAGGACUACAUAACAUGCAGUAGUUGCUCCCUAGAAAAGUAUAUCACAUUCUUUAUGCUUUCUAGGCUGACCAAUUAUGCCAUUUUUUCAAAUUUCUUAACAACAAAUGCCCACUAUUUAUUUUGUUCUGUGUGCUUCUAUUUUUUUUUUU